GAUGAACGCUGGCGGCGUGCCUAAUACAUGCAAGUCGAGCGAAUGGAUUAAGAGCUUGCUCUUAUGAAGUUAGCGGCGGACGGGUGAGUAACACGUGGGUAACCUGCCCAUAAGACUGGGAUAACUCCGGGAAACCGGGGCUAAUACCGGAUAACAUUUUGAACCGCAAGGUUCGAAAUUGAAAGGCGGCUUCGGCUGUCACUUAUGGAUGGACCCGCGGAGCAUUAGCUAGUGGGGGAGGUAACGGCGCACCAAGGCAACGAUGCGUAGCCGACCUGAGAGGGUGAUCGGCCACACUGGGACUGAGACACGGCCCAGACUCCUACGGGAGGCAGCAGUAGGGAAUCUUCCGCAAUGGACGAAAGUCUGACGGAGCAACGCCGCGUGAGUGAUGAAGGCUUUCGGGUCGUAAAACUCUGUUGUCAGGGAAGAACAAGUGCUAGUUGAAUAAGCUGGCACCUUGACGGUACCUAACCAGAAAGCCACGGCUAACUACGUGCCAGCCGCCGCGGUAA
rnacentral:rRNA from 1 species